rnacentral:lncRNA from 13 species
UCCCGCUGGAUAUUAUGAACAAGAUCACAGACCUUUGAGUUCUCUCAUCAGGAGAAACUGGAAUUGCUGGGUCCAAAGUAUUUGGGAAGUUUGGAGUGAUUCUUGUUGCCGGGGGAAGAGGGAACUAAGGACGUGUCACUGAACCUUUAGGGGUUCCGGGAUCCCCCACCCAGGUGCCUGCUCCAGCUCCCCAAGCGCGCCUCCCUCCCGCCCCUACCUGUUUUAACCCCUUGUGGCUCCACCCCCGCCUGGCAGCUGGACCUUGCCCGGGGCCUUCUGAUCUCCGAGCUCCAAUUUCAGCCGGAACUGCCCCGCCCCGCCCCUUCCCUGGCAAGAGCACAGAGGAGACCUCUGCUGGGACACUGACCUACAGACCGACGCUGGGACCCAGGACAACUGAGGCGCUGAUGGCCGCGCCUGGCGAGCCCUGUGUGGGGCAGGAGGUCUGGAACCGGACAGAGCCUGAACCUGCUGCCACCAGUCUGCUGAGCCUGUGCUUCCUGAGACCACAGCAGGAGUGUGGGUGCCACUCAUGUACCUCUGGAUAUUAUGAACAAUAUCACAGGAGGGUGCACAUUUCCUGAAAUAUUGGGUCCUCGGCCCCAUCUACCUCCUCUUCAUCCACCACCAUGGCCGGGGCUACCUCCAGAUGUCCGCACUCUUCAAAGCCAAGGUGGUACCUGCCUUCCCUUGGAGCCUGGAACCAGGCAAUGGUGGUGGAAGCAGGGGACAGGCUGGAACCUGGUAGAGUCCUAAAGUAGACUCUUCCUAUCAGGCUGUAGGAGGGACUCUGUUAAUCAAACAGAGCAAUAUUAGAGAGGCGUCAGAGGUCAGCUCGGUGGGACAUAGUUCUCCCAAACAGAUUUUGUAAUUCCAAAAAUCCAUGCUUGCACCAACACACACACACGUUCCCAUGAUCCCAGUUGAUAACUACCAUAACCUGGCAUUUUCCAAAACGUACCAUGUAGACUCUCGGAUCCACAAGGUAAUUUUAGGACCACAUUAGGAUGAGCCUUUGAAAAGUCAUGCAUUGCUUUUUCUGUUUCCCCACUGGCUGUGUUAUAGAACAGUUUCGUGAGUGAUACGUAUUUAUUUCAGAGGGCUGCGUAAGCACUGGCAUUCCAGGUGUGAGCCUUUCUGCUCAUCCAUCCUCUUCUCCUCCAUUCUUAUAGGCUCUGAAGAAUGUUCUUCAGAGUUCAUUCCUUCUUCUGCCAUUGUGGUAAUGUUUGCAUCAUCACCCACCAGCAACCCAGGGUUGGCAAACGGAAGGAGCCGAGCAUCGCAUAGUACUUGAGGCUUUGCAGCCAGGCAGGCUUCCUUCCAAACUCAGCUCUGCCACUGCAGCGUGAGCGCAGUAGUCACAACCAUAGACAACACUCAUAACUGUCUCUUACUUUUUUUUUUUGAGAUGGAGUUUCACUCUUGUCACCCAGACUGGAAUACACUGUGUGAUCUUGGCUCACUGCAACCUCUACCUCAUGGGUUUAAGUGAUUCUCCUGCCUCAGUCCCCACCCACCCCUCACCCACCCACACCACGAGCAGCUGGAACUACAGGUGGUCACCACCACACCCAGCUAAUUUUU